rnacentral:rRNA from 1 species
GACGAACGCUGGCGGCGUGCUUAACACAUGCAAGUCGAACGGAGUGGCGAACGGGGGAGUAACAAGUGGGUGACCUGCCCUGCACUUCGGGCUAAGCCUGGGAAACUGGGUCUAAUACCGGAUAGUGUGGGAUGGGCGCGCGGCCUAUCGGCUUGUGGGUUGGGUAAUGGCCUACCAAGGCGGCGACAGGUCGCCGGCCUGUGAGUGUGGACGGCCACAUUGGGACUGAGACACGGCCCAGACUCGUACGGGGUGCAGCGGUUGGGAAUAGUGCACAAUGGGCGGAAGCCUGAGGCAGCGACGCCGGGUGGGGGAUGACGGCCUUCGGGUUGUAAACGCCUUUCACCAUCGACGCGGUAGAUGGAGAAGAAGCACCGGCUAACGACGUGCCAGCAGCCGCGGUAAUUC